GAUGAAGAACGUAGUGAAAUGCGAUACGUAAUGUGAAUUGCAGAAUUCAGUGAAUCAUCGAGUCUUUGAACGCACAUUGCGCCCCCUGGUAUUCCGGGGGGCAUGCCUGUCCGAGCGUCAUUGCUGCCCUCAAGCACGGCUUGUGUGUUGGGCCUCCGUCCUCCUCCCGGGGGACGGGCCCGAAAGGCAGCGGCGGCACCGCGUCCGGUCCUCGAGCGUAUGGGGCUUCGUCACCCGCUCUUGUAGGCCCGGCCGGCGCUUGCCGACACAUCAAUCUUUUUUCCAGGUUGACCUCGGAUCAGGCAGGGAUACCCGCUGAACUUAAGCAUAUCAAUAAGCGGAGGA
rnacentral:misc_RNA from 1 species